rnacentral:rRNA from 2 species
ACGAACGCUGGCGGCGUGCUUAACACAUGCAAGUCGAACGAUGAACCAGGAGCUUGCUCUUGGGGAUUAGUGGCGAACGGGUGAGUAACACGUGAGUAACCUGCCCUUGACUCUGGGAUAACCUCCGGAAACGGAAGCUAAUACCGGAUAUGACGUACGGAGGCAUCUCCUGUACGUGGAAAGAAUUUCGGUCAAGGAUGGACUCGCGGCCUAUCAGGUAGUUGGUGAGGUAACGGCCCACCAAGCCUACGACGGGUAGCCG